GUUGUGAGCCAGGUGGGAAGAGUAGUUUUACUUGCCAUUUAGGCCACGCCCCCACAGCGCGGGGGUUGGGACAACUGAUUUGUUUGAACAAACUUCUCAUAAUUGUUUUUAAACAGACUUUACAAACAUAACAUAAAGCUUUUGUGUGGUUUUAAUGCAAAACAAAUAAGUUUUAAACAGCAAAUUAUAGCUAAAAAGGCUUUCUAGCUGCAGGGACUGUGCAGGGAUCCUAAUAGCUGAACGAGCUAAACUGGCUAACCUGUAUGUACAGCAGGCAGUUUGUGUCUGAGUUACGCCGUGCAGUUUGCAGUGUGCCAAGCCCAGAGUAGGAAUGAUGAAGACGCGGUUCUCCCUAUACAGGGUCUCUGUGGGUCGAGAGCCAAUCCAUUGGGCAUUGGGUGCAGGAAUACCACUUGGACAGGGCACCAGUCCAUUACAGGAUCUCGGGAGCUGAGAGUAAACCUACAAGCAGCGAGAAGACAAACGAUCACCACCACAAACACACACAGGCAUUUACUUACCUACUCACUGUUCCUUAUCACCUUAACAUGUAUUUUCUGUCACUCACAUCACAUACAAUUACCCCUGCAGUCUUCCCCCGCUUUAUGCAGUCUUUCUCUAUCACUCACACAUGUGCACACUUUUAUUAGUGGUAUCAAAUAAUCUGAUUGAUCACAACAGAAUUCUUUGAUUUAUCUCAAUUAAUAAUACCUUUUCUUUUUUUUUUAACUCAACCUUUAAUAAUGGGCACAAAUUAGCUAGUUUUGCAAAACAGAAUUAUAUUUGUAUUAGUGUUGUCAAUUGUUGUAAAUGUGUGUAUUAAACUAUAU
rnacentral:lncRNA from 1 species